rnacentral:rRNA from 1 species
UAUACAUGCAGUCGAGCGGACUUGAUGAGAAGCUUGCUUCUCAUGAUGGUUAGCGGCGGACGGGUGAGUAACACGUAGGCAACCUGCCCUCAAGCUUGGGACAACUACCGGAAACGGUAGCUAAUACCGAAUACUUGUUUCCUUCUCCUGAAGGAAACUGGAAAGACGGAGCAAUCUGUCACUUGGGGAUGGGCCUGCGGCGCAUUAGCUAGUUGGUGAGGUAACGGCUCACCAAGGCGACGAUGCGUAGCCGACCUGAGAGGGUGAUCGGCCACACUGGGACUGAGACACGGCCCAGACUCCUACGGGAGGCAGCAGUAGGGAAUCUUCCGCAAUGGGCGAAAGCCUGACGGAGCAAUGCCGCGUGAGUGAUGAAGGUUUUCGGAUCGUAAAGCUCUGUUGCCAGGGAAGAACGCUUGGGAGAGUAACUGCUCUCAAGGUGACGGUACCUGAGAAGAAAGCCCCGGCUAACUACGUGCCAGCAGCCGCGGUAAUACGUAGGGGGCAAGCGUUGUCCGGAAUUAUUGGGCGUAAAGCGCGCGCAGGCGGUCAUUUAAGUCUGGUGUUUAAUCCCGGGGCUCAACCCCGGAUCGCACUGGAAACUGGGUGACUUGAGUGCAGAAGAGGAGAGUGGAAUUCCACGUGUAGCGGUGAAAUGCGUAGAUAUGUGGAGGAACACCAGUGGCGAAGGCGACUCUCUGGGCUGUAACUGACGCUGAG